rnacentral:rRNA from 1 species
AUUGAACGCUGGCGGCAGGCCUAACACAUGCAAGUCGAACGCGUGGCGGACGGGUGUGUAAUGUCUGGGAAACUGCCCGAUGGAGGGGGAUAACUACUGGAAACGGUAUCUAAUACCGCAUACCCUCGGAUGUGCCCAGAUGGGAUUAGCUAGUAGGGGGGGUAACGGCUCACCUCGGCGACGAUCCCUAGCUGGUCUGAGAGGAUGACCAGCCACACUGGAACUGAGACACGGUCCAGACUCCGACGGGAGGCAGCAGUGGGGAAUAUUGCACAAUGGGCGCAAGCCUGAUGCAGCCAUGCCGCGUGUAUGAAGAAGGCCUUCGGGUUGUAAAGUACUUUCAGCGGGGAGGCGUUACCCGCAGAAGAAGCACCGGCUAACUCCGUGCCAGCAGCCGCGGUAAUUC